UAGGGAAUCUUCGGCAAUGGACGAAAGUCUGACCGAGCAACGCCGCGUGAGUGAAGAAGGUUUUCGGAUCGUAAAACUCUGUUGUUAGAGAAGAACAAGGACGUUAGUAACUGAACGUCCCCUGACGGUAUCUAACCAGAAAGCCAGGGCUAACUACGUGCCAGCAGCCGCGGUAAUACGUAGGUGGCAAGCGUUGUCCGGAUUUAUUGGGCGUAAAGCGAGCGCAGGCGGUUUCUUAAGUCUGAUGUGAAAGCCCCCGGCUCAACCGGGGAGGGUCAUUGGAAACUGGGAGACUUGAGUGCAGAAGAGGAGAGUGGAAUUCCAUGUGUAGCGGUGAAAUGCGUAGAUAUAUGGAGGAACACCAGUGGCGAAGGCGGCUCUCUGGUCUGUAACUGACGCUGAGGCUCGAAAGCGUGGGGAGCAAACGGG
rnacentral:rRNA from 1 species